CCUACGGGAGGCAGCAGUGAGGAAUAUUAGUCAAUGGGCGAGAGCCUGAACCAGCCAAGUCGCGUGAAGGAUGAAGGAUCUAUGGGUUGUAAACUUCUUUUAUAUGGGAAUAAAACGAGGAACGUGUUCCUUUUUGUAUGUACCAUAUGAAUAAGCAUCGGCUAACUCCGUGCCAGCAGCCGCGGUAAUACGGAGGAUCCGAGCGUUAUCCGGAUUUAUUGGGUUUAAAGGGAGCGUAGAUGGUUUGUUAAGUCAGUGGUGAAAGUUUGUGGCUCAACCAUAAAAUUGCAGUUGAUACUGGUAGACUUGAGUAUAGUUGAGGUAGGCGGAAUGCGUGGUGUAGCGGUGAAAUGCAUAGAUAUCACGCAGAACCCCGAUUGCGAAGGCAGCUUACUAAACUAUAACUGACACUGAUGCACGAAAGCGUGGGGAUCAAACAGGAUUAGAUACCCUAGUAGUC
rnacentral:rRNA from 1 species